GCUCUCAGCCGUCCGAUCGAUCCGACGGCGGCGUUCGUUCCGCUCGGAACAAAACUGGCCAGGGUCAAACCCUAGCCCUCAUUUCCCCAUCUCCUCCCGAUUUCUCCGCUCCAGUGAGUGACCACGCGACCACGCGACGGCGCCCGCAUUGGUAGCUGAAGGCAGGCCGGCCAUGGUUGCGCGGUGGCAGCCCUCACCGGAUGAGCGUGUAGUGGACCAAGUCCGGCGCGCUCUUCCGUCGAGGGUGGCUGCCGGCGACGCGCACAUGGCCCUAUUAAGCGGUGGGAGGUCCAUUUCUCCGGUGGUUGCCGGCGUGAUACUUCGAAGCCAAUGACAGCGUGCAAGGCGCAGAGGCCAGGCGACGCAUGCGUCCAUUUGUGCAGCAGCGGCGGCUGCAUCCUUCCGCACGCCGCCCCGAGAGACGGCGGCGUUCCAGCCAUGGCAUGCACGCACGGUGGCGGCCGUGCGGCCCCGAACACUGGCAUCAUUUAACCCGGCUCAAAUUAAUCUCUGCAGACCGAAGCAAAUUUCAAGGGGUGCGCUGAUGAGAUCAGGCCCCGUGGCCGCGCUUGUAUCAUGGUGGCAACUCCACAACAGUAGAAGCUAGUUAGAAAUAUGCCAUGCUUGCUUACUGAGCAGGUGGCUGAGCAGUGGACCUCGGCAGUCGUGGGCAACCACCAUGACGAAACUAUACCAGAUUGAAUUAUAGUUGUAUCAAAUGGCCAGUAGGACCAAGUAUUGUAGGUCAUGCGAUUCGGCGUUAGAUUUGUAAAAAUUUAAGCUACCACCGUCCUCUGCUCAUGUUGAAUGGUAUAUUUUUGUUAUUCUGCUUUUUUUUUAUUUCUACUUUGUUUUUCUGAAUCCGGGAAAUUAAAGAGACAUCCAAGAUCCAUUGAGUCUCUCUUUCGAUAGAUGUCACAUGUGACUUUAAUCUUA